rnacentral:rRNA from 1 species
GUGUCAGCCGCCGCGGUAAUACGUAGGGAGCAAGCGUUGUCCGGAAUCAUUGGGCGUAAAGCGCGCGUAGGCGGCCUCAUAAGUCCGUUGUGAAAGUCAAAGGCUCAACCUUUGAAAGCCGAUGGAUACUGUGAGGCUAGAGUCCGGAAGAGGCGAGUGGAAUUCCUGGUGUAGCGGUGGAAUGCGCAGAUAUCAGGAGGAACACCAAUAGCGAAGGCAGCUCGCUGGGACGGUACUGACGCUAAGGCGCGAAAGCGUGGGGAGCGAACAGGAUUAGAUACCCCAGUAGUCC